GAAUUACUUUAUUUGUUUAAAUUUAAAGGCACAUCUCAAAUUUAAAAGGAUUUGGAUAGGAAUGUUAGACUCAAAAAUACGAAUUUGCAUAAGAUCAAUUGUGUCUGUUUGAAAUUCGAGUUGAGCUUAAGCUUAAUAUUUAAAGCAUGAGCUUGAGCUCAGCUUGGCUCAACUCGUUGCUAAGUUUAUAACAUAUAAUUUUUCUUUCUAUAUAUAUAAUGGUCCAAUUUUACCCGGGCACAGAUUACAAAAAAAAUAAAACAAAAAAUUAAAUAAAAUAGUAAUAAAAACAGUCCAGUUACAAAAAUGUUAGGCCCAAAUUUAUAGGCUUAAAUGGCCCAAAACAAACAAAACCCUAAAGCCCAUGACCCAAAUUUUUUUAGAAAAUUAAGAAACCCUAAUUCUUCUCUCGCGACACUCCUCGUGCUGCGUCAGUGUGCUCGCCACCCGAAGCCUACCACCCCUAUUGCCGUUGCACCAAAAUGGUAAAGGUGCACGUCCCAUCGCCCUCUGUUGACCGCGCCGACACUUGUAAAAAGGAUAAAAAAAGGAUAGAAACAGUAGCAGUGCAAAAACAAAAAAGAAAAGAAAAGAAAAGAAAAAUCUUGUAAUUUAAAACUGCUAUAAAGGCCGAUUUCUUGUAAGAUUCAAAGGGACUUCUUUUUAAAAAAUAAAAAAAUCAAAUUCAAACACAAAAAAGGUAAAUUACUUUAUUUAUUUUUUAAUUCAUAAAAUAAGAAAAUAAUAAUAAACUCCAUCACCUGUCUACUCGUGUCGCGCCACCAUCGGAGGUCCCCUUCAGUCACGAGAGUCGCCGAACCCAUUAGGGUAUCGUUUGGGCUUCGUAAAAAGGGGGAUACGGGAGGGCAAAUUGCCAGAAAAGGGCAGAGGCCGAAUUUCAUUUCGUUCUUUUUUCUAUUUUUUAGGCAUUUGCCUUUAGAUCUAAAAUCUAGGUUUAAAAAUGGGCAAAAAGAGAUUUUUUUUUUGAAAUUCUAGCCACUGGAGGUGACAGUCAUCGUCACCGCUGACUGGUGGCCACGGCGGAGAAUACAACGGCCCUAUGGCUAAAGAGGGGAAGGGUUUCGA
rnacentral:lncRNA from 1 species